UCUCUGUCCAGGAACCUUCUGUCUACCCCUUGAAGCCCUGUAAUGCAGACACUGCCUCUGUGACACUGGGUUGCCUGAUAAGGAACUACUUCCCUGACCCGGUGACUGUGAUCUGGCAUUCAAACUCCCCGAACAUGAGCACAAUGAACUUCCCUGCCCUUGGCUCUGAACUCAAGGUCACCACCAGCCAAGUGACCACCAAGAGCAAGUCAGCCAAGACUUUCACUUGCCAGGUGAUCCAUGCCCCAUCCGGAUUCAAUGGCAAUAAGACGAUCAAAGCAUCGCCUGCCAAUAUCACCCAGCCCACCUUGAAGCUGCUCCAUUCAUCCUGCGACCCCAAAGCUUUCCACUCCACCAUACAGCUCUACUGCUUCGUUUAUGGCCAUGUCCCAAAUGAUGUCACUAUCACCUGGCUAAAGAAUGGACAGCAGAUGUCUAAUGCAUUUCCAAGUGUUUUCCCAAUCAAGAAGGAGGGUAAGCUAGCCUCUACAUACAGUGAACUCAACAUCACCAUGGAGCAAUGGAUGUCUGAGAGCACCUUCUCCUGCAAGGUCACCUCCCAAGGCGAGGACUAUGAGGUCUAUACCCGGAAGUGCCCAGAAUAUGAGCCACGUGGUGUGAAUACCUACCUGAUCCCACCCAGCCCCCUGGACCUGUAUGUAGAAAAGUCUCCCAAGCUUACCUGUCUGGUGGUGGACCUAGAAAGCAAGGAGAAUGUCACUGUGACAUGGGCCCAAGAGCACAGGAAUCCUGCAGGCUUGGCGUCCCAGAGUUAUACCAGGCACUAUAACGCAACAACCAGUAUCACGUCCACCCUGCCAGUGGAUGCCAAGGACUGGAUUGAAGGUGAAGGCUAUAGGUGUACAGUGAGCCACCCUCAGCUGCCCAAGCCCAUUGUGCGUGCCAUCACCAAGGCCCAGG